rnacentral:rRNA from 1 species
UAGUCGAAGGAUAAGAUUUGCUUUUAAAC